rnacentral:rRNA from 1 species
UACAGAGGUCUCAAGCGUUGUUCGGAUUCAUUGGGCGUAAAGGGUGCGUAGGCGGCGCGGUAAGUCGGGUGUGAAAUUUCGAGGCUUAACUUCGAAACUGCAUUCGAUACUGCCGUGCUUGAGGACUGGAGAGGAGGCUGGAAUUUACGGUGUAGCGGUGAAAUGCGUAGAUAUCGUAAGGAAGACCAGUGGCGAAGGCGGGUCUCUGGACAGUUCCUGACGCUGAGGCACGAAGGCCAGGGGAGCAAACGGG